rnacentral:lncRNA from 1 species
GUCCCAUCCAAAGGUUAUGGCCGCUUAGCGAAUGCCUGGGACCCGAGACAGGGAAUCUCCCCCAAAUUUGCAUUUCUCAUACUCUGAAUGAGGAUGAAGAUCUAUUCAAGAGUUACAGAUCAUUUGUGCUUUACUUUCUGUGAGCAUCUCUUCAGUUUCUCUAUUAAGCUCUCCUCCCGCCAGCUCCUGGAAAUCACCGUUGUGCCACCUGCUGCUAUGAGUCUGGCUGUUUGGAUUCUUCACAUAAGUGGGUCACUCCCUCUGGGGAGACCAGCUGCCCUGGCGUGAGGAUUAGAAAGCACUCCUGUGGAGAAGUCUCUGCAGCAAGUCACUGAAUCCUUCUGCUGAGAGCCAGCAAGAAAUGGAGGCUUCGGCAAGAGCCAUAUGAUGAGCCCUCUGGGCAGCAGACCCUCGGCCUCAGUCAGUCCUGGAGCUGACCGCAACCCAACUGGCAUCUUGACCACAAGCAAGGAGAGACCCCAAACCACCAACAUCCAAGCUAGGCCGCUCCCCGCGCCUGACCCCCAUGAACAAUUGGAUUAUAAGUGCUUGUGGUGUUAAGCUUCAGUGUUUUCAGGAGGUGUGUAGGCAGCGAUAGAUAAUUAUUACAAUAUACAUGAUGCAUUGAGGACAAGGAAUCAUCGAGCCAUCCCAAACUCACUCUUUCUUCCAUCCCUUUGACAUUUUCUUCUGUUCAUUCAUGUCUAUUCCAAUGAAAUACACUAACAUGUUAAGGUAAUAUAUCUAGAUGAUGGGAAAACAGUGAGACUUCUGUAUAUAUAUAUAUCAUUUUAAUCUUCCACAGCAAACAUGUCUAACUUAAAAUAUAUAAUAGAUAUCACUUAAAAAUAUACACUGCUCUGCCUUGUCUAUAAGAGAAGCCUCUUUACAAUGAUAAAAUUUACUUUAAUAUAAAAUAUUUCAAUGAAACACAUACUUAGAAAUAAGCACUACCUUGAGCAAGACUCAUUUUUUUAGGUCAUGAGACAGAAACGUUUUUGAAAGGGGAAUUCCAGUUGGAUUCCUGAAGGGGC